CACGUAGGGCGCAAGCGUUGUCCGGAAUUAUUGGGCGUAUAGAGCUCGUAGGCGGUCUGUUGCGUCCGCUGUGAAAUCUCGGGGCUUAACCCCGAGCCUGCAGUGGAUACGGGCAGACUAGAGGUAGGUAGGGGAGAAUGGAAUUCCCGGUGUAGCGGUGAAAUGCGCAGAUAUCGGGAGGAACACCGGUGGCGAAGGCGGUUCUCUGGGCCUUACCUGACGCUGAGGCACGAAGGCCAGGGGAGCAAACGGG
rnacentral:rRNA from 1 species